UCGGCCUUUAAACCCACACUGCUUUUAUGAGUUGUAACACUCACUGUGAAGGUCUGCAGCUUUAUUUCUGAAGCCAGCGAGACCGUGAACCCACCGGGAGAAAGGAACAACUCCUUACGCCCCGCCUUAGGAGCUGUAACACUCACCUCGAAGGUCUACAGCUUAACUCCUGAGCCAGCGAGACCAAGAACCCACCAGAAGGAAGAAACUCUCAACACGUCUGAACAUCAGAAGGAACAAACUCCGGACACGCUGCCUUUAAGAACUGUAAUACUCGCUGCGAGGGUCCGCGGCUUGGUUCUUGAUGUUAGUGAGACCAAGAAGCUACCGAUUCCGGACCCACCAACACUUGGAGAGGCCAAGGCAGGAGGAUUGCUUGAGCCCUGGAGUUUGAGACCAGCUGGGCUACAUGGUGAAACCCCGUCUCUACAAAAAAAUACAACAACAAAAAAUUAGCUGGGCAUGUUGGUGCAUGCCUGCGGUCCCAGCUACUCAAGAGGUGGGAGGAUUGCUUGAGCCGAAGAGGUCAAGGGUGAAGUGAGCCAUGAUCGUGCUAUUGUACUCCAGCCUGGGUGACAAAGCAAGACCGUGUCUUGGGGGAAAAAAAUGUAUUGAAAAAGUAGGAGACAGUUGGAAAAGGGCUCACAGAGAAGACAGCCAUGAGAAGACUGAAGUGGGUAGAGAUUGAAGUCAUGCUGCCACAAGCCAAAGAACAUCUGAGGAUGCCAGAAGCUGAAAGGGGCGAGGAAGAGACAAGGGAGUCUCCCCAAGAGCCUUCAGAGGGAGCAUGCCGUUGCUGAUACAUAGAUGUUGGUCUUCUAGCCUACGGAAUUGCCCUUGCACAAUGCCUGAGAUACAGCAGGAACUCAAAAAAUAUGGGGGCAAAUAUUGGUUUGAAGAACACCAAGCACUUUCACAGACAUAUCUGUUGACUUCCUACACUCUUUUCAGGUCGUUUGCCAUGGCAGGUGUGAAAUACCCGGGACAGG
rnacentral:lncRNA from 10 species